UGGCCUUUAGCUGUUGUCAUACGUACUUUUCACAUCACUCGUCGAUACGCUAUGGUACAACGCGAUUCAUCUGUAUCUAGAAAGCGUAGCCGCCGUAGCUCCUACCUGCCUGCUCUGCUGCCUGCUGAGAAGUGUUCUAACGUGAUAAUGAUGAGAUGCCUUGACAAAUAGCCAAAUUCCACUCCAGUACCCUUGGUCCUCGCCUUCAUAGGCUAUCAGCUAGUGGUAUUCUUUUUGGUGUCUAUUGCAGGACUUCUCACUACCGUAAAUGGUAGAAUUUCGUCUAGUCCUGUAAUUUCCGGUCGGUUCGGUCGAGAAGUUGGCUUAUGACUGCUGUAGCUACCGCCUUCCUUCUUCCAGCACAGAAGAGGCAAGCGACGACUCGAGUGAUCGGACCUUAUUCGUCGUUGUUCGAAAGGCCGCUUGACCUUACCUCAAAACAUUACGGAACAGAAAACAAAUAUGUUAUGAUGAACCAUGGACGCUAUAUCAAAUCGAGCUCAUAGAAUAUAUCACCUUGUAUCCGUCGAAACUUCUUCAAGUCAAGUUUAAGUUUCUAAUAUAUAUGUACCUAAACGGACCUGGGAUGAUCGUUCUUUACUGUUGUAAAGCUGGCUGAUAUAUAUAGAUAGUUGUCUGGUAUAAAAAUACCGGUUCGAUAAAAAGGAUGAAAGCUGCAUGGGCCGAGCCCAGUUCACUGCGUUGCAUUGUUGAACCAUUCGGUUCUCGACAUCUGGGUUCGCUCAACAACCGCAUCAAUAUAUGUCGUAAUAGCGGACGGUAUCGUUAGCGUUAUAAAUUGACCUGUAAGCAACUGUAAACAAUAUCCAACCACAAAGGAAAACGGAGAUAGGCAGAGUUUAGACAACGUCUUUUUCGCCUAUAACGACCAGCAGAACCUAAAUAUUGUUGUCAUUUUUAUACACGUGUUUCGGAAACCUAGCCGUAAAUGAGACGUUAGUAAAAGUAGGUAUUUUAUAUGAGCAAUUAUUAGCUAAGCUAUUUUUUUUCUUGAUUGCUUGAAGAACCAUGCGCUUUUUUAAAAAAAAAAAAAAAAAAAAAGGUUGUUUGUUCUCUAAAUAAUCGACAAAAAUUAUUACUCACGAUCGGAUAUAUUUUAAAGUAAGAGCUAUAUAAAGCAUUGAAUAUCGUUUGCACCACCUUAAUGAAUUUACUGUUCUACAGUAUAAUUCUUCUGAUCCGUUUACAAACUUUCUGAGAUUGUUAGGAAAGAUAUUUAUAUUAUCAAAACAAAUAUUUAACUUGUGAGGAUGAAGUUGAAGUCGGUAUAUUUAAAUAAGCAUACUAAGUUGAUACCAAAACAUACGGCGAUUCUUCAUCAAACUCCAAGGAUUUUACUGAGAGAGCAAACGACGUUAAUGUAAAAAAAUACGAAAAAAAGCUGUAAGUUCAA